CGAGUGGCGGACGGGUGAGUAAUGCAUAGGAAUCUGCCCUAUAUGGGGGACAACCUGGGGAAACUCAGGCUAAUACCGCAUAAUCUCUACGGAGGAAAGGCUUCGGCCGCUAUUGGAUGAGCCUAUGUCAGAUUAGCUUGUUGGUGGGGUAAAGGCCUACCAAGGCGACGAUCUGUAGCUGGUUUGAGAGAACGAUCAGCCACACUGGGACUGAGACACGGCCCAG
rnacentral:rRNA from 1 species